rnacentral:rRNA from 1 species
UCAAAUCGAGUAGGACUACCCGCUGAACUUAAGCAUAUCAAUAAGCGGAGGAAAAGAAACUAACAAGGAUUCCCCUAGUAACGGCGAGUGAAGAGGGAAGAGCUCAAAUUUUGAAUCUGGCACCUUUGGUGUCCGAAUUGUAAUCUAGAGAAGUGUUUUCCGUGGCGGACCGUGCAUAAGUCUCCUGGAAUGGAGCGUCAUAGAGGGUGAGAAUCCCGUAUAUGGCAUGGACUCCCGUUGCUCUGUGAUACACUCUCGACGAGUCGAGUUGUUUGGGAAUGCAGCUCUAAAUGGGUGGUAAAUGCCAUCUAAAGCUAAAUAUUGGCGAGAGACCGAUAGCGAACAAGUACCGUGAGGGAAAGAUGAAAAGCACUUUGGAAAGAGAGUGAAACAGUACGUGAAAUUGUUGAAAGGGAAACGCUUGAAGUCAGUCGCGCCGUUCGGGAUUCAGCCUUGCUUCUGCUCGGUUUACUUCCCGUUGGGUGGGUCAACAUCAGUUUCGGUCGGAGGAGAAAGACUUGGGGAAGGUAGCAGCAUUCGUGCUGUGUUAUAGCUCCUUGUUGUAUACUUCGACUGGGACUGAGGAUCGCAGCACGCCUUUGGCCGGGGUUCGCCCACGUACGUGCUUAGGAUGUUGGCAUAAUGGCUUUAAGCGACCCGUCUUGAAACACGGAC